rnacentral:rRNA from 1 species
AUAUUGGUCAAUGGCCGAGAGGCUGAACCAGCCAAGUCGCGUGAGGGAUGAAGGUUCUAUGGAUCGUAAACCUCUUUUAUAAGGGAAUAAAGUGCGGGACGUGUCCCGUUUUGUAUGUACCUUAUGAAUAAGGAUCGGCUAACUCCGUGCCAGCAGCCGCGGUAAUACGGAGGAUCCGAGCGUUAUCCGGAUUUAUUGGGUUUAAAGGGUGCGUAGGCGGCCUUUUAAGUCAGCGGUGAAAGUCUGUGGCUCAACCAUAGAAUUGCCGUUGAAACUGGGGGGCUUGAGUAUGUUUGAGGCAGGCGGAAUGCGUGGUGUAGCGGUGAAAUGCUUAGAUAUCACGCAGAACCCCGAUUGCGAAGGCAGCCUGCCAAGCCAUUACUGACGCUGAUGCACGAAAGCGUGGGGAUCAAACAGGAUUAGAUACCCUGGUAGUCCACGCAGUAAACGAUGAUCACUAGCUGUUUGCGAUACACUGUAAGCGGCACAGCGAAAGCGUUAAGUGAUCCACCUGGGGAGUACGCCGGCAACGGUGAAACUCAAAGGAAUUGACGGGGGCCCGCACAAGCGGAGGAACAUGUGGUUUAAUUCGAUGAUACGCGAGGAACCUUACCCGGGCUUAAAUUGCAAAUGAAUUAUGGGGAAACCCAUACGCCGCAAGGCAUUUGUGAAGGUGCUGCAUGGUUGUCGUCAGCUCGUGCCGUGAGGUGUCGGCUUAAGUGCCAUAACGAGCGCAACCCUUGCCACUAGUUACUAACAGGUAAAGCUGAGGACUCUGGUGGGACUGCCAGCGUAAGCUGCGAGGAAGGCGGGGAUGACGUCAAAUCAGCACGGCCCUUACAUCCGGGGCGACACACGUGUUACAAUGGCGUGGACAAAGGGAAGCCACCUGGCGACAGGGAGCGAAUCCCCAAACCACGUCUCAGUUCGGAUCGGAGUCUGCAACCCGACUCCGUGAAGCUGGAUUCGCUAGUAAUCGCGCAUCAGCCAUGGCGCGGUGAAUACGUUCCCGGGCC